GACGAACGCUGGCGGCGUGCUUAACACAUGCAAGUCGAACGGAAAGGCCCUGCUUUUGUGGGGUGCUCGAGUGGCGAACGGGUGAGUAACACGUGAGUAACCUGCACUUGACUUUGGGAUAACUUCAGGAAACUGGGGCUAAUACCGGAUAUGAGCUCCUGCUGCAUGGUGGGGGUAGGAAAGUUUCGGCUGUUGGGGAUGGUCUCGCGGCUUAUCAGCUUGUUGGUGAGGUAGUGGCUUACCAAGGCUUUGACGGGUAGCCGGCCUGAGAGGGUUGCCGGCCACAUUGGGACUGAGAUACGGCCCAGACUCCUACGGGAGGCAGCAGUGGGGAAUAUUGCACAAUGGGCGGAAGCCUGAUGCAGCAACGCCGCGUGCGGAAUGACGGCCUUCGGGUUGUAAACCGCUUUCGCCUGUGACGAAGCGUGAGUGACGGUAAUUGGUAAAGAAGCACCGGCUAACUACGUG
rnacentral:rRNA from 1 species